rnacentral:rRNA from 1 species
UACGUAGGGUGCGAGCGUUGUCCGGAAUUACUGGGCGUAAAGAGCUCGUAGGUGGUUUGUCGCGUUGUUCGUGAAAACCUGAGGCUUAACCUUGGGCGUGCGGGCGAUACGGGCAGACUGGAGUACUGCAGGGGAGACUGGAAUUCCUGGUGUAGCGGUGAAAUGCGCAGAUAUCAGGAGGAACACCGGUGGCGAAGGCGGUCAUCUGGGCCAGUACUGACGCUGAGGAGCGAAAGCGUGGGGAGCGAACAGG